rnacentral:rRNA from 1 species
GACGAACGCUGGCGGCGUGCUUAACACAUGCAAGUCGAACGGAAAGGCCCUGCUUUUGUGGGGUGCUCGAGUGGCGAAAGGGUGAGUAACACGUGAGUAACCUGCCCUUGACUUUGGGAUAACUUCAGGAAACUGGGGCUAAUACCGGAUAGGAGCUCCUGCUGCAUGGUGGGGGUUGGAAAGUUUCGGCGGUUGGGGAUGGACUCGCGGCUUAUCAGCUUGUUGGUGGGGUAGUGGCUUACCAAGGCUUUGACGGUAGCCGGCCUGAGAGGGUGACCGGCCACAUUGGGACUGAGAUACGGCCCAGACUCCUACGGGAGGCAGCAGUGGGGAAUAUUGCACAAUGGGCGGAAGCCUGAUGCAGCAACGCCGCGUGCGGGAUGACGGCCUUCGGGUUGUAAACCGCUUUCGCCUGUGACGAAGCGUGAGUGACGGUAAUGGGUAAAGAAGCACCGGCUAACUACGUG